UGGGCGAAAGCCUGACCCAGCAACGCCGCGUGAGGGAUGAAGUAUUUCGGUAUGUAAACCUCGAAAGAAUGGGAAGAAUAAAUGACGGUACCAUUUAUAAGCUCCGGCUAACUACGUGCCAGCAGCCGCGGUGAUACGUAGGGAGCAAGCGUUGUUCGGAUUUACUGGGCGUAAAGGGCGCGUAGGCGGCGCGGUAAGUCACUUGUGAAAUCUCUGAGCUUAACUCAGAACGGCCAAGUGAUACUGCUGUGGUAGGGUGCGGAAGAGGCAACCGGAAUUCUUGGUGUAGCGGUGAAAUGCGAAGAUAUCAAGAGGAACACCUGAGGCGAAGGCGGGUUGCUGGGCCGACACUGACGCUGAUGCGCGAAAGCCAGGGGAGCAAAC
rnacentral:rRNA from 1 species